UACGUAGGCAGCGAGCGUUGUUCGGAGUUACUGGGCGUAAAGGGUGUGUAGGCGGUUGUUUAAGUUUGGUGUGAAAUCUCCCGGCUCAACUGGGAGGGUGCGCCGAAUACUGAAUGACUUCGAGUGCGGGAGAGGAGAGUGGAAUUCCUGGUGUAGCGGUGAAAUGCGUAGAUAUCAGGAGGAACACCGGUGGUGUAGACGGCUCUCUGGACAGUUCCUGACACUGAGGCACGAAGGCCAGGGGAGCAAACGGG
rnacentral:rRNA from 1 species